rnacentral:misc_RNA from 1 species
AAAGAGUUUCACAAAACUCCUUAAACCCCACUGUGAACCUACCUGUUAUUUGUUGCCUCGGCGGGCAGCCCCAGGGCGGGGCCCUCGCCUGGAGGGGAAAUAUCACUUCCUUCCCCGGGUGCUCGCCGGAGGAUUCUCCCAAAAACUCUUUAAUUUACUGUUACUCUGAGCUGCAGCAAGCAAAAUAAGUAA